AAGGUUUUUUCUCACACAAAAAGUCUUAAUGUUUAUAGAGAAAGCCACACAUCUUUUGGGAGGGAAAGUUGUGUUAUGGGAAAAAAAUAAAUCUUUUACUCACCUCUUGAGAGCUUUUCAUCCACGUACCAAAGGAAGGGUAGGGUUUCUAUGUUGUAUGAACUUCUUUUGAAUGCCUUUGUAGCAGCAGAUUGUGAGUUAAUUCCAAGCCAUGUUUUGAACUAAGAGGCCCCCACGUUGCAUAUAGUUGAAGAAAAUAUACUUUAAAGAAUGGUAUUCCUAGCACGUAUUGGGGUCCAAUAUUUUCAUAAGGAGGAAUAUUUGCAUUUCAUGCAUGCUGCUGAAAGUUGAAAGGAGAUUCGUAGCGCAUUGCAUGGAGAGAGAAGGUUUCCAAGAGUUAAGGAAAGAUCAUUCCAUGCACCCAAACACCUGGUUUCGUGCUUUGUUGGUUUUCAAUUCAAUAAAUAGCAUUGCAUUAAAAAAAAUGCAGGGUAAGGGAAUAAAAUCCUUUUUUUCCAGUGUCAAUAUCUUUCUUGGUUCACAGCUGGAGUUUAUCUACUCUAUGAGCCUUUUAAUGGAGGUGUAUAAACUUGUGAAUUUGAUAUGCAUUGCAAUUUGGGCCUUGGACCUUCUGAUCAGGAAUGCAAUUUGUACCACCUAAUGAAAGAUAAGGUCAAGCUUUUUCCAGAGUCAAAGAUUCCAUCAUGUUUUUUGAAGUUCCCAUUGCUCUUUGAAUAUCAAGGCAUCUUUGGUUGGGUGUGGUUCAAAUAUACUCAAGGAUAGUAAACUAUCUCUACUAAAUAAAGAUACAAGCAUUUACUUCGGUACAAGUGGAUCUAUCACCUAGAGCUACUACUACACCAUUUCAUUCAAUCACUUUGCUUGAGACAUUUGAAGUUGAUGGCAUAGAGGAAGAAUUGAGAUAUGGUGGUGCAGGAGAACUUCAUCAACAAGCUUUUCAGGACCCUGAGGAUGAAGACUAGGAUCAUUAGGAUGUGUUAGUGUGUUUUGUGUUUCAUGUAUGUAAAUAAACCCCACCAUGUAAGCCCAUGUCACCAAUUAGGCAAUUUGAGAAGCCAAUUGGGACAAUGUGGUAAAAAGGGGUAAUAGAUGGUUUAGAUUCAUGUUUAAUAGGUUUUAGACAUGUUUUAUGUGUGUUUGGUUGGUCCAUGUGUGUGAAUCCCAACCUUAGGAAGUAUGACAACUUUUUGAGUAAAAUGGCAAAAAAUGCAACUUUUGAGUGCAAAAGUGCAACUUUUUGUAAAUCGGUUGCAGAAGCCUUUCAAUGGCUCCAACCUACUCCAAAUUCGGUGGCAAACAAUUGGAGAGUUGUAUAAUCCUUGUGGGCAUGAUUCCCAAGGUUGUUGUGAUUGGAGUUGGAGUUUGAGAAUCAGUAAUACACAAAAUACUAUAGUUUUCUUAGAAAUUUUGAGUUUGUACGUGACUGUACGGAUUGAUUUGAACCCCACCAUCCAUGGAGUAGACAGGGAGAUGAAAUAGAUUUCUUUUGGUGGUGGUCUAUGGUCUUAAUCAUUUUGGAGUAGAGAGAACCCUCCAUUUUACUGUUUGUGACCCGGAAAGUGAGGGUUUGGAGAGGGUUUUGAACCAAAAUGGCUUUAUCUUGCACUCCAGUCCAUUAGAAGACUCUUCCUUUGGAGGGAUGCAAGAUAAGCCUUUGUAUUUUAUUGUUUUCAUUUUUUUUUACAGGGGAGACCUUGUUGUGUGGAGAAAAGAACAGAUUUAGGUAGGCAUCUCUAUGUGACUACCUAGGACAAGUUUUAGGACAGUCAUCAUAAUUUGUCUUACCGAUGGAUUCCAGGCAUGCAACCCUGGAAUUAGAAUUUUCUCACUACCCCCCACAUUCCUAUUAAGUUUUUUUUUUCAUUUUGUCUACCGAUAAAGGUAGUUGCUUUGGAAAAUAGGACUAAUUGCCCCUAUUAGGUCUCUUAGCCUCUAAAGGGAGCAGACCUUAUAUUUGUAGAUUUGAUCAAACCAUUUUGGGGAUCAGUAUAACUUCCAAAAGGGUGUAUGAAAUGCUAAGUUGUUUGUAUGGGUGUGUGGGAUAUUUUUGAGUUAAGGCCAAAACACUGGUACAGGAGGACUACUAACCGAAGGGGUAGGUUUACAAAGGAGGUAUUAGAGUUUGAUGCCCAAGAUCAAAACCAAUGCUUGAAAGAGGUAUUAAAUGUUAUGUGUGGACCAAAUAUAAAAUCCCAAGGAGUAGGGAUCACCGAUAAGGUACUUUUGAAGAGUUGUUUUACUCAUCUUAAGUAGGCCCAUGACUAGUGAGUGUGUGAGUAGUUUCAUCCAAGGUGUAGAGUCCUUCCUUGCAAGACCCUUGUGAGUAGUUGAAGGGUCACUAGCCUAACCUUAUUUGGGCUUGUUACUAGGAGUUUGGGUAGGCCUCUGCAUCAAGUGGUAUCAGAGCAAAGGAGUGUCAUUUGGAAGAGAAGGAGAAGACAAGAUGUCAGAAGAAGAAGGAUCACAUGAGGCACCUUCAAGAAUGACCAAUGCAGAGUUGAAUGUCCUAGUGAAGAAGCAGAUGGCAGAGAGCAGAGCAAUCAGGGCUUGAGGAAUGAGAUGGACCGGUUGAAGGACAUAGUGGAGAGGGGAGAGAGAGACUCUGGAGAAGAAGGGGAUGAAGAGGAGAUCCCUAUGCAGGAAGAGCUAGAGGUACCUGCAGACCAGAGACCCCUGAUGAGUGUCCUCGAGUCCAUAAAGAGAAGGACAAUGGAUGUGAAGAUGGGUCUGCCAGUAUUUGCAGGAAUGAUGGAGUGGAUAGACUCCUUGGACAAUUUUUUUAAAAGUGAAGACAUACCAGACCAUCAGAGGGUGAAGAUGGCCCAAUCCAAAAUGAAAGGGGCUGCAUUAACUUGGUGGACUUUCAUCCAAGAUGAGAGGGUGAAAGAGGGAAAGAGAAUAAUAGCUACAUGGAAGAAGAUGAUUGUUUUGGUGAAAGAAGCAUAUGUCCCAAUGGAUUACAAUAUCCAAUUGCAUAGGAGGAGGUAGAAUUUGAAACAAAAGGAGAUGGACGUGAGUUCCUAUACCGAGGAGUUCAUGAUGUUGUGUGUGAGGACUAAGGUGAAAGAGUGAAGAUGAGAAGGUGGCAAGGUAUCUCAAUGGGUUGAGAUUUACAAUUUAAGAAGACUUGAAUCUCCACACCCUGGAGAUAGUCCAAAAGCGAUUUCAAUUGGCACUCAAGGUGGAGGAGAAGUUGAAGAGAAGGCAAGACCAAAAUGGCAGAGGUAAAGGGAGACAACAAAGAGGAUGAAGAGGCCCUUUCCGAGGUAGAGGAAAUGGUUUUGGUUACCAGGGAGACUCUAACCAAGAAGGCAAUAGAGGAGAGAGUAGUUACAACCAUGGAGGAGGCUACAAUCCAAGAGGAAGCUUUAGGGGUAGAAAACCACCCUCUAGAGGGAGAUCCCAAGGUAGAGGACCUCCCAGGUGCUACAACUGUAAUCAAGAAGGGCAUAUGGCCAAUAGGUGUUCGGAGAAGGCUUCUAGAUCCAUGGGAGAAAGGAAAAGCAAUUUGGUGCAGGAAUCUGAUUGUCAAAGUUUGGCAAGUGCAAGCACUUCUCAAAGUGUAAAUGUCCUUGAUAGUUAUGGAUAUCCUGAAAAAGGAGAGGCUCUGAUGAUAAGGAGAGUAGUAACCACCAUGAAGGUACCUGACAAGGAGCCUACACAAAGGAAAUCUCUUUUCAAAACCACUUGCAAGGCAGGCGGAAAGGUAUGCAAGGUUCUAAUAGACUCCUGAUCCACUGAAAAUUUUGUAUCACUUGAAAUGGUAGAGAAGCUUAAGCUUAGGAAGUUGCCUCACCCAUAUCCCUAUAAGGUUUCAUGGCUCACCCAAGAUUAGCAAGCUUGGGUGGAGUUUCAGAUUGGAUCUUACAAGGAUAGAUUGCUAUUUGACAUAGCCAAAAUGGAUGCAUGCCAUCUCUUAUUUGGGAGACCAUGGUAGUAUGACUUGAAGACUCAUCAUGAUGGAUUAAGGAACAUCUACUCAAUCACCAAGGAUGGUAAGGUGGUAGAACUCUUACCUCUGAUAGAGGAAGAGAUGGAAUCAAAAGGGAAGGAUACAAGAGUGCUGAUGAUAAAAGGUAAACAGUUCAUGAGGGAGAUUGUAGAGAAAGGUGCAGUUUGCUAUGCCCUCAUGCCUAGCCCAAAGGUGACAAGGAAAGAGCAGUAUGCAGAAGAGAAAGGAGGACCAAAACACCUAGAACCAACAGUCAGACAAUUGCUUGAUAAACAUCAAGGCAUCAUCUCAGAUGGAAUACCAAGAUCCCUACCACCAAUAAGGGACAUCGGUCAUUGCAUAGAUCUGAUCCCUGGAUCUACAUUGCCAAACAAAGCAGCCUACAAGCUCACCCCAGACCAGAAUGCAGAAAUGGCAAGACAGAUUGAAGAGUUGCUUGAAUCAGGACUGAUUGGCAAAAGUCUAAGCCCAUGUGCAGUACCGACAGUCCUUGCACCCAAGAAAGAAGGCACUUGGAGGCUUUGUACAGACAAGAGCCAUCAACAAGAUAACCAUAAGGUAUAGGUUCCCAAUCCCUAGAAUAGAGGAUUUGCUUGUUUGCUUAGGAAGUGCUAAAUAUUUUACAAAAAUGGAUCUAAAAAGUGGAUACCAUCAAAUUAGAAUAAGGCCAAGGGAUGAAUGGAAAACAACUUUUAAAACUAAUGAGGGGUUAUAUUAAUGGAAAGUCAUGCCAUUUGGGUUAUCCAACGCACAUAGUACCUUUGUGAGGUUAAUGAAUGAAGUCUUGGUGGAAUUCAUAGGGAAUUUGUCAUAGUAUAUCUAGAUGAUAUCUUGAUGUUCAGUCACACAAGGGAAGAGCACCUCAUCCACAUAGAUAUGGUUCUCAAGAAGUUACAUGAAGAGCAACUAAUGAUCAAUUUGGAGAAGUGUUUGUUCAUGCAGGAAGAGAUCAUCUACUUGGGUUUUGUAAUCUCACAAGGUGAGUUGAAAAUGGAUCAAAAGAAGGUGAGUGAUAUAUUGUCUUGGCCUACACCUAGAACUGUGAAUGAUGUCCGAAGUUUCUAGGGUUUAGCAACUUUUUAUAGGAAAUUCACAAGAGGAUUUAGUCAUGUUUGUGGACCCAUGCUUGAUGCAAUAAAGGGAGGACAAAAGUGCAGGUUCAGUUGGACCAAAGAGGCAGAUGAUUCAUGAUUCAUUUGAGACGUUGAAGAAGAAGGUUGCAGAACAACCAGUCCUUGCCUUACUAGACUUCAACAAGAUAUUUCAGGUGGAAUGUGAUGCAAGCCACAUGGCCAUUGGAGCAGUACUCAGUCAGGAAGGAAGGCCUAUUGCUUUUUUCAGUGAAAAGCUAAAUGAUGCUAAGAAAAGAUACUCAUCUUAUGGGUUGGAGAUGUAUUGCCUAAGGAGUUCAUAGUGUUUACUAAUAAUCAGGAACUCAAUUUCAUCAAUAGCCAAGAAAAGCUUAAUCACCGACACAUGAAGUGGGUAGAGACCCUACAAGCUUUCACAUUUACCCUCAAACACAAGAAGGGAGUCAAGAACAAAGUUGUAGAUGUUUCGAGCAGGAGAGUCUUAACUAUCAACCAAAUCAAGAUGGAGAGUGUUGGUAUUGAUUCCUUAAAGAAUAUGUAUAAUGUUGAUGAAGACUUCGGAGAGAUUUACAAGGUAUGUGAAACUUUGAAUGACCGGUAUCAUAUUGAGUUUUUUGAGUUUUUGAUACAAGAUAGAUUGUUGUUCAACGAAGUGCAGUUGUGUAUUCCUAAAUGUUCCAUGAGAUUGAAUAUUAUUAGGGAGAAGCAUUGUGGAGCCAUGGCAGGUCAUUUUGGCCUUGACAAGACCCUAGACCUUGUGAAGAGCCAUUUUUUUUUGCCUAAAUUGCAGGCAGAUGUGAGAAAGUUUGUGGAGACAUGUGUCAUAUGUUAGAAAGCCAAAGGGAAGUCUACAAAUGCAGGUUUAUAUCAGCCUUUACCCAUUCCUUCUAGGCCAUGGGAGAGCAUAAGUAUGGACUUUGUGUUGGGUUUGCCUAGGACAAGGAGAGGAUUUGACAGUGUCUUUGUAGUAGUGGAUAGGUUUAGUAAAAUGGCUCAUUUAUUGCCAUGUAAGACUUCUUGUGAUGCAUCAUAUGUUGUAGACGUAUUCUUCAAAGAGAUAGUCCGGAUACAUGGAUUGCCCCUAAACAUUGUUUUAGACAGAGAUGUGAAGUUCAUAGGUCACUUUUGAAGAACUCUUUGGAAGAAGUUGGGGACUAACCUAGCUUUCUCAUUAGCCUACCAUCCUCAAACGGAUUUGCAAAUUGAAGUUGUCAAUAGAUCAUUAGGAAACCUAUUAAGAUGUUUAACAAGGCAACAUGGAGAGAAGUGGGACAACAUUUUGUCACAAGCAGAAUUCUCAUACAAUGACACCAUAAAUAGGAGUACCGGUAAAUCUCCUUUUCAGAUUGUUUAUGGCAUACACCCAAGAAGAGUGUUGGAGUUAAGAGAUUUACCCAAAGAAGAAGCCAUUAGUGCAGAUGGUGAAGCCUUUGCAUCAACCAUUAAAGAGGUGCAUGACCAAGUCAAGUCUCAUCUCCUACAAUCUGCAGUGAAGUAUAAAGCUCAUUUUGAUAAGAAGAAGAGAGAUAUACAGUUUAGUGUUGGGGAUUUGGUAUGGAUACAUUUGAAGGAAAGACUACCAAAAGGCAAAUACACCAAACUCAUUCAGAGGAAGAUUGGACCAUGUCAGAUAUUGAAGAAGUGUGGACGAAAUGCUUAUGAGAUCCAACUUCCUUUUGAUCUUGGAUUAUCACCCAUUUUUAAUGUGUGUGAUCUUACACUUUUCAAAGGUACUAAAAAUGAAGAAGAGGAACCAAUGCAGAUUGCAGCAGACAAUGACAUUCCAAGGCAAGAAUCACCCAAGUUGAGCAAAUUGUUAGACACUAGAGUCACACAGAAGACAAGGAACAAGGAGUACAUUGAGUACUUGGUGGAUUGGUAGGACAAACCAAAUUCUGAGGCAGUUUGGAUGACAAGUGAGCAAAUAUCCAAUCAUGGUGCAAAUUUACAAACUUUGAUCCCAAGUGGGCUUGAGAUCUCUUCUCCCGGGGAGUAUGGUGCAGGAGCACGUCAUCAACAAGUUAUUCAUGACCCUGAGGAUGAAUACUAAGAUCAUUAGGAUGUGUUAGUAUGUUUUGUGUUUCAUGUAUGCAAAUAAACCCCACCAUGGAAGCCCGUGUCACCAAUUAGGCAAUUUGAGAAGCCAAUUGGGACAAUGUGGUAAAAAGGAGUAAUAGAUGGUUUAGAUUCAUGUUUAAUAGGUUUUAGACAUGUUUUAUGUGUGUUUGGUUGGUCCAUUUGUGUGGAUCCCAACCUUAGGAAGUAUGACAACUUUUUGAGCAAAAUUGCAAAAAAUGCAACUUUUGUAAAAUGCAACUUUUGAGUGCAAAAGUGCAACUUUUUGUAAAUCGGUUGGAGAAGCCUUUCAAUGGCUCCAACCUACUCCAAAUUCGGUGGGAAAACAUUGGAGAGUUGUAUAAGCCUUGUGGGAACGAUUCCCAAGGUUGUUGUGAUUGGAGUUGGAGUUUGAGAAUCAGUAAUACACAAAAUACUACAGUUUUCUCAGAAAUUCUGAGUUUGCAAGUGUUGUAUGUGACUGUACGGAUUGAUUUGAACCCCACCAUCCAUGGAGUAGACAGGGAGAUGAAAUAGCUUUCUUUUGGUGGUGGUAUGUGGUCUUAAUCAUUCUGAAGUAGAGAGAACCCUCCAUUUUACUGACUGUGACCCAGAAAGUGAGGGUUUGGAGAGGAUUUUGAACCAAAAUGGCUUUAUCUUGCACUUCAGUCCAUUAGAAGAAUCUUCCUUUGGAGGGAUGCAAGAUAAGCCUUUUUAUUUUAGUGUUUUCAUGUUUUGUUACAUGGGAGACCUUAUUGUGUGGAGAAAAGAACAGAUUUAGGUAGGCGUCUCUAUGUGACUACCUAGGACAAGUUUUAGGACGGUCAUCAUAAUUUGUCUUAGUGAUGGAUUCCAGGCGUGCAACCCUGGAAUUAUAAGUUUCACACUACCCCCCACAUGCUCAUUAAGUUGGUUUUUCAUUUGGUCUACCAGUAAAGGUAGUUGCUUUGGAAAAUAGGGCUAAUUGCCCCUAUUAGGUCUCUUAGCCUCUAAAGGGAGCAGACCUUAUAUUUGCAGAUCUGAUCAAACCAUUUUGGGGAUCAGUAUAACUUCCAAAAGGGUCUUUGAAAUUCUAUUUUUUUGGUAUGGGUAUGUGGGAUAUUUUUGAGUUAAGGCUAAAACACCGAUACAUGAGGGUUACUAGCCGAAGGGGUAGGUUUACAAAGGAGGUAUCAGGGUUUGAUGUCCAAGAUCAAAACUAGUACUUGAAAGAGGUCUUAGAUGUUAUGUGUGGACCAAAUACAAAAUCCCAAGGAGUAGGGAUCACCGGUAAGGUACUUUUGAAGAGUUGAAGCCUUUUACUCAUCUUGAGUAGGCCCGUGACUGGUGAGUGUGUGAGUAGUUUCAUCCAAGGUAUAGAGUCCUUCCUUGCAGGACCCUUGUGAGUAGUUGAAGGGUCACUAGCCUAACCAUAUUUGUUCUUUUUAUUAGGAUUUUGGGUAGGCCUCUGCAUCAUAUGGGUAAAAGUUUUCCAAGUGCUUAGAUAAAAUAGUUGUAUUUGAUCCAUAAUUCCUAUUGUUGUAGUAGAUAUUAGCAACAUAUUCACUUUUUCAUAUAUUUC